GACGAACGCUGGCGGCGUGCUUAACACAUGCAAGUCGAACGGAAAGGCCCUGCUUUUGUGGGGUGCUCGAGUGGCGAACGGGUGAGUAACACGUGAGUAACCUGCCCUUGACUUUGGGAUAACUUCAGGAAACUGGGGCUAAUACCGGAUAGGAGCUCCUGCUGCAUGGUGGGGGUUGGAAAGUUUCGGCGGUUGGGGAUGGACUCGCGGCUUAUCAGCUUGUUGGUGGGGUAGUGGCUUACCAAGGCUUUGACGGGUAGCCGGCCUGAGAGGGUGACCGGCCACAUUGGGACUGAGAUACGGCCCAGACUCCUACGGGAGGCAGCAGUGGGGAAUAUUGCACAAUGGGCGGAAGCCUGAUGCAGCAACGCCGCGUGCGGGAUGACGGCCUUCGGGUUGUAAACCGCUUUCGCCUGUGACGAAGCGUGAGUGACGGUAAUGGGUAAAGAAGCACCGGCUAACUACGUGCCAGCAGCCGCGGUGAUACGUAGGGUGCGAGCGUUGUCCGGAUUUAUUGGGCGUAAAGGGCUCGUAGGUGGUUGAUCGCGUCGGAAGUGUAAUCUUGGGGCUUAACCCUGAGCGUGCUUUCGAUACGGGUUGACUUGAGGAAGGUAGGGGAGAAUGGAAUUCCUGGUGGAGCGGUGGAAUGCGCAGAUAUCAGGAGGAACACCAGUGGCGAAGGCGGUUCUCUGGGGCCUUUCCUGACGCUGAGGAGCGAAAGCGUGGGGAGCGAACAGGCUUAGAUACCCUGGUAGUCCACGCUGUAAACGGUGGGUACUAGGUGUGGGGUCCAUUCCACGGGUUCCGUGCCGUAGCUAACGCUUUAAGUACCCCGCCUGGGGAGUACGGCCGCAAGGCUAAAACUCAAAGGAAUUGACGGGGCCCCGCACAAGCGGCGGAGCAUGCGGAUUAAUUCGAUGCAACGCGUAGAACCUUACCUGGGUUUGACAUGGAUCGGGAGUGCUCAGAGAUGGGUGUGCCUCUUUUGGGGUCGGUUCACAGGUGGUGCAUGCCUGUCGUCAGCUCGUGUCGUGAGAUGUUGGGUUAAGUCCCGCAACGAGCGCAACCCUUGUUCACUGUUGCCAGCACGUUAUGGUGGGGACUCAGUGGAGACCGCCGGGGUCAACUCGGAGGAAGGUGGGGAUGACGUCAAGUCCUCAUGCCCCUUAUGUCCAGGGCUUCACGCAUGCUACAAUGGCUGGUACAGAGAGUGGCGAGCCUGUGAGGGUGAGCGAAUCUCGGAAAGCCGGUCUCAGUUCGGAUUGGGGUCUGCAACUCGACCUCAUGAAGUCGGAGUCGCUAGUAGUCGCAGAUCAGCAACGCUGCGGUGAAUACGUUCCCGGG
rnacentral:rRNA from 1 species